GCUCGGAGAGAUUAAUUACAAUGCAGUCAGUGGCGAACGGGUGAGUAACACGUGGGAAACCUACCUCUUAGCAGGGGAUAACAUUUGGAAACAGAUGCUAAUACCGUAUAACAAUUAGAACCGCAUGGUUCAAGUUUAAAAAGAUGGUUCUGCUAUCACUAAGAGAUGGUCCCGCGGCGUAUUAGCUAGAUGGUGAGGUAAUGGCUCACCAUGGCAAUGAUACGUAGCCGAGUUGAGAGACUGAUCGGCCACAUUGGGACUGAGACACGGCCCAAACUCCUACGGGAGGCAGCAGUAGGGAAUCUUCCACAAUGGACGAAAGUCUGAUGGAGCAACGCCGCGUGUGUGAUGAAGGGUUUCGGCUCGUAAAACAUUGUUGUAAGAGAAGAAUGACAUUGAGAGUAACUGUUCAAUGUGUGACGGUAUCUUACCAGAAAGGAACGGCUAAAUACGUG
rnacentral:rRNA from 1 species